GUUUCAGUGGCGUAGUGGUUAACGCACGAGGCUAGUUUAGGCGCGAGACGACACGAGUUCGAAUCUCGCCUGAGAUG
rnacentral:tRNA from 1 species